rnacentral:rRNA from 1 species
UACGUAGGCAGCAAGCGUUGUUCGGAGUUACUGAGCGUAAAGGGUGCGUAGGCGGCCCUGUAAGUAUGGUGUGAAAUCUCCCGGCUUAACUGGGAGGGUGCGCUAUAGACUGCGGGGCUCGAGUGUGGGAGAGGAAAGUGGAAUUCCUGGUGUAGCGGUGAAAUGCGUAGAUAUCAGGAGGAACACCGGUGGUGUAAACGGCUUUCUGGACCAUAACUGACGCUGAGGCACGAAAGCGUGGGUAGCAAACAGG